UGCGGAGGGAUCAUUACAAGUGACCCCGGUUUACCACCGGGAUGUUCAUAACCCUUUGUUGUCCGACUCUGUUGCCUCCGGGGCGACCCUGCCUUCGGGCGGGGGCUCCGGGUGGACACUUCAAACUCUUGCGUAACUUUGCAGUCUGAGUAAACUUAAUUAAUAAAUUAAAACUUUUAACAACGGAUCUCUUGGUUCUGGCAUCGAUGAAGAACGCAGCGAAAUGCGAUAAGUAAUGUGAAUUGCAGAAUUCAGUGAAUCAUCGAAUCUUUGAACGCACAUUGCGCCCCCUGGUAUUCCGGGGGGCAUGCCUGUUCGAGCGUCAUUUCACCACUCAAGCCUCGCUUGGUAUUGGGCAACGCGGUCCGCCGCGUGCCUCAAAUCGACCGGCUGGGUCUUCUGUCCCCUAAGCGUUGUGGAAACUAUUCGCUAAAGGGUGUUCGGGAGGCUACGCCGUAAAACAACCCCAUUUCUAAGGUUGACCUCGGAUCAGGUAGGGAUACCCGCUGAACUUAAGCAUAUC
rnacentral:rRNA from 1 species